AUUGAACGCUGGCGGAAUGCUUUACACAUGCAAGUCGAGCGGCAGCACGGGGGCAACCCUGGUGGCGAGCGGCGAACGGGUGAGUAACACAUCGGAACAUGCCCAGUCGUGGGGGAUAACACUUCGAAAGAAGUGCUAAUACCGCAUACGUCCUGAGGGAGAAAGCGGGGGAUCGCAAGACCUCGCGCGAUUGGGGUGGCCGAUGUCAGAUUAGCUAGUUGGUGGGGUAAAGGCCUACCAAGGCAACGAUCUGUAGCUGGUCUGAGAGGAUGAUCAGCCACACUGGGACUGAGACACGGCCCAGACUCCUACGGGAGGCAGCAGUGGGGAAUUUUGGACAAUGGGGGCAACCCUGAUCCAGCCAUUCCGCGUGAGUGAAGAAGGCCUUCGGGUUGUAAAGCUCUUUCGGCAGGAACGAAACGGUGAGCUCUAACAUAGCUUGCUAAUGACGGUACCUGAAGAAGAAGCACCGGCUAACUACGUG
rnacentral:rRNA from 1 species